rnacentral:lncRNA from 1 species
ACAAUACCAAAUGGGAUUGGAAAGCUGGUGAAUCUUCACACUUGCACUGGUGUGUUUGCUGGAUGUGGAAUCUUCAACGAAUUCAGCAGUUUAACCCAGCUGCAAAAAUUUGGUGUUACGUGUGUGUCUGAAGAUCAUGCUAGUGAAGUAUUUGCAGCCAUAAUGAAGAUGAAAAAUCUUACCUCUCUGUCAUUAAGAUCAGACACAGAGGCCUGUGAGGGUACUUUUUUUCCUGAUAUGGAACAAUUUUCUCCUCCACCUCUCCUUCAGGAACUUCAUUUA